rnacentral:rRNA from 1 species
AGUGAACGCUGGCGGUAGGCCUAACACAUGCAAGUCGAACGGCCGCACAGUAAGCGCUUGCUCUUACGGGUGGCGAGUGGCGGACGGGUAAGGAAUACAUCGGCAUCUACUUUUUCGUGGGUGAUAACGUAGGGCAACUUACGCUAAUACAGCAUACGACCUACGGGUGGAUUCAGAGGAUCUUGGCACCUUUCCCGUCUCUAUGAGCCGAUGUCGGAUUAGCUAGUUGGCGGGGUAAGGGCACACCAAGGCAACGAUCCGUAGCUGGUCUGAGAGGAUGAUCAGCCACACUGGAACUGAGACACGGUCCAGACUCCUACGGGAGGCAGCAGUGGGGAAUAUUGGACAAUGGGCGCAAGCCUGACCCAGCCAUACCGCGUGGGUGAAGAAGGUCUUCGGGUUGUAAAGCCCUUUUGUUGGGAAAGAAAAGCAGCGGGUUAAUACCCCGCUGUUCUGACGGUACCCAAAGAAUAAGCACCGGCUAACUUCGUG